rnacentral:rRNA from 1 species
UACAGAGGGGGCAAGCGUUGUUCGGAAUUACUGGGCGUAAAGGGCGCGUAGGCGGCCUGUUAAGUCGAACGUGAAAUCCCCGGGCUCAACCCGGGAACUGCGUCCGAUACUGGCAGGCUUGAAUCCGGGAGAGGGAUGCGGAAUUCCAGGUGUAGCGGUGAAAUGCGUAGAUAUCUGGAGGAACACCGGUGGCGAAGGCGCAUCCUGGACGGCAUUGACGCUGAGGCGCGAAAGCCAGGGGAGCAAACGGGG